rnacentral:rRNA from 1 species
UGCGGUUAAAAAGCUCGUAGUUGGAUCUCGGCAAGUAGAGGGCGGUAUGCUUCGUAGCAUUACUGCCCUAUUACUUGUAGUUUUGCCAGAGGUUCCUGGGUGCUCUUAAUUGAGUGUCUAGGGAUGCUGGCAGGUUUACUUUGAAAAAAUUAGAGUGCUCAAAGCAGGCUAUUACGCUUGAAUAUUCGUGCAUGGAAUAAUAGAAUAGGAAGUUGUUUCUAUUUUGUUGGUUUUCGGAAAUCGACUUAAUGAUUAAUAGGGACAGUCGGGGGCAUUUGUAUUCAAACGACAGAGGUGAAAUUCUUGGACCGUUUGAAGACAAACUACUGCGAAAGCAUUUGCCAAGAAUGUUUUCAUUAAUCAAGAACGAAAGUUAGAGGUUCGAAGGCGAUUAGAUACCGCCCUAGUUCUAACCAUAAACGAUGCCAGCUAGCGAUCUGAGGACGUUUUUUUUGUAGACUCCUCAGGAAGCUUCCGGGAAACCAAAGCGUGUGGGUUCCGGGGGAAGUAUGGUUGCAAAGCUGAAACUUAAAGGAAUUGACGGAAGGGCACCACCCAGGAGUGGAGCCUGCGGCU